rnacentral:misc_RNA from 1 species
UUUCCGUAGGUGAACCUGCGGAAGGAUCAUUACAGUGUUCUCUGCCCUCACGGGUGGAAACGCCCACCCUUGUGUAUUAUAUCUUUGUUGCUUUGGCAGGCCGCCCUCGGCUACCGGCUCCGGCAGGAUUGCGCCCGCCAGAGGAAACUCAAACUCUGAAUGUUAGUGCCGUCUGUGUACUAUCUAAUAAUUAAAACUUUCAACAACGGAUCUCUUGGUUCUG